ACAAAUGGAACAGAAACUAAAUGAAGAUCUAAAAGAUCUAAAUGAAGAUAUUGAAGUAAAUGAAAUAGACGGAAAUGAAAAUGACCAACAAUCAGAAAUAAGUGAUAUAAGUGAAACAUAUACAGAAAUUCUAGAACAGAUAAAUAAACCAAAAAAAUUAGAAAUAAACACAGGAGAAUGAAUAGGCCUAGUACGUCAAGAGUUAAAACCCCAGAUAAUAGUCCCAGAAAUAGUCCUAGAGUUAGUCCUAGGAGAACACCACCAACUUAUUAUAAAGAAAGCUAUCAACAAUCAGACAGAAAUAAUGCAAUAUGAAACAGUAGACUAAAUAAAAAUUGGACAACUAAACCAGCAAAUGAACAAUACAAUUUCUUAGAUUUAGAUUGUGUCGCAAAUAUAAAUAAAGCAAUAUUGUAAUGGAUAGGAAAUAUGUCUAAACAGUUAAUAGAUAACAAAAUAGAAACAGCGAAAACACCAAGAUACAUAGAAAGAACAUUCAUAGGAACAACAAAAUUAUGGAUAGAAAAUCUACCCCCAGAAAGUUUAGAAGUACUUAGAAAUGAUAAGAAAAUGGAUGGAUCCCCAUCAGCAACAAAUAUACAUAUACUAGAUAAAUAUUAAUCAGCAAUAAGAAAUGAAUUUGGAGGCAUGACUACAGAUAUAAGAGAACAAAAUAGAGAAAAAAUAAUAAAUAGACAACUUAUGACAAAAUUAGCUAUAUGUAAAAUGUGUUACUUAGAAGAAUAUACUUGCGCAUUUAAAGAAUAUUAUUACAAAGCUAAAUACAAUUUAGACGAAGCAAAAAAAAUAAGAAAACAAUAUUAUACAAAAUUACCAGAACCAUUUAGUACAAAUGUGAUAAAGGAUUGGAAUAAUGAAGGAAUGGUAGAUACUUUAGGAUCUAGAAAUUUUUUUUUAAAUCAAUGGUUCAUACAACUAUGUGAAAACCAAAAAGAAAAAUUAUAAAUGGAAAAAGUAUUAAAUAAAAAUUUAUCAUGUCGCAAAAAUAAAAUGGCACCACAAUUUGGAUGCACAACUAAAAAACAAAAAUCUAAAAGAUAUAAAAAUUAUAGAAAAAACAAAACUAUAUAUAAAUAUAAACAACCAAGACGAAGGUAUUAUGUAAAAAAUCAUAAAAUAAAAAGACCAUACAGACCAAAAAGAAAAAUAUCCCAAUGUACUUGUUAUAAUUGUGGAAAGAUAGGACAUAUAGCUAAAGAUUGUAAAUUACCCAAAAAUCCAAAAAGAAAACAAAUAGCAUAAUUAAUUAUAGACAAUGAAAAAUAUAUGCAAAUAGAGUACAUAGAUUAUGAAUUAAGUGAAAAUGAUAGUAUAUAUGAAGUAUCAGACAUAGAAACUGAGAAUGAAGAAGAAAAUAUUAACAUAGAUAACAACGAAACAGAUGAAGAAAUAUAAUGUCUGAAAAUGAAAUAAAAAUAAUAUCUAAGGAAGAAUAUCAAGAUGAAGAAUCAUCAGAACAAAAAAUUAUAUUUGAUAAUACGAUAUUUGAACAAAUAAAAGGAAAAGAAUUAGAUUUAAGUGUUGAAAAAGUACUAGAAAUACCUAUUUUAAGAAAUUGGUUUAAAAGACAAAAAGAAGAAUACUAUGUAGUUAGUCAAAAAGAACAUAUCAUAGAUUGUAAAUACACAAGAGGAAAAGCAUAUAUACCUAUAAUAAAUAAAAGAAUGAUAAACAAAGAAAUACAAGAUAUAAAAGCUAAAACACCAAUAAAAUAUGUACAUUUAGGAGGAACAGAAAUAUUAAUAAAAGCCUGUUUUAGAGAAGGAAUAGAUACACCUAUAGAAAUAUAUUUAGCAGAUGAUAGAAUUGUACACCCUAUAGAAAAAACCAUAAUUAGUGCAGUAAAAGGAAACUUAAUAUAUCAAAAAUUUAAGUUUACAAUAAGUGCUAAUUAUACAGUAUUAUUAACAGAUUGUCAUGACCCAAAUCGGAUAGCGACUGGCACCCACACUUACCCUCCUAUGUGAGCGAACCAACCAAUCUAAACCUUAACAUUUCAAUGUAAUAACAACAGAAAGUAAUGCGGAAGACUUAAACUCAUAAGUAAAAAUAAAUAAUCAACUUCUAUAACUAAAAAACUUAUCAUUAUCCCCAGAAUCUGGAAGUCAUCAUCACAAGAACAUCUACUUUAAACUACUAAUUCUAAGAGUUUCUAAGAAGCUAAAAAUACAUAAGAAGCUAGUCCAUGCCGGAAGUUCAAGGCAUCAAGACAUGAAGGAGAAGAUCCAAUCCAAGCUAGAAGCGUUAGCUCACCCUGAAGAUCCGGUGUGACGAAGACUGGCUUGAGAUUACUGUUGAGUCGAAGAUGACGGCACGUUUGCUGCACUCCACAAAUAACAAGAAGAAAAACAUAAAAGUAGGGGUCAGUACAAAACACGGGUACUGAGUAGAUAUCAUCGGCCAACUCAAAAUAGGGAACAGAAUAUAUCAAUAUAAUCGUAAAUCAACUAUAAAACUCAACAUGUAGCAACAACAAGUAUUAUAAUCAUCAAUAAGUACCAUCAAGUUCAUCCAUGAGGGCUCAAGCCUCAAUGCCAUACUCAUUUGGGAAUUAAGUUUAUUAAGUUGAGUAUAUUAUCAUCUUUCAAGAUUCAUUAUCUUUCCUCUUCUUGUGCCGGUAUGUGACACUCUGAUUCCCUACUACUAUGUGUCGGUACGUGACACUCCGAUCCCCCAAUUCUAUGUGUCGGAAUGUGACACUUCGAUCCCCUACAUGUGUCGGAACGUGACACUCCGAUCCCCUACAUGUGUCGGUACGUGACACUCCGAUCCCCUACACGUGUCGGAACGUGACACUCCGAUCCACUAAUACUAUGUGUCGGAACGUGACACUCCGAUCCACUAAUACUAUGUGUCGGAACAUGACACUCCGAUCCACUAAUACUAUGUGUCGGAACGUGACACUCUGAUCCACUAAUACUAUUCUGUAAAUCAUCAAGCCUUCUCUAUUCCAAGGCAUCAUCGAUCCCAUUACUUUAAUUCAUCAAGCCUUCUUCUAUACCAAGGCAUCAUCAUUAAUAAUGUAUAUUAAAGUUUCUUUUCAAGAUUUGGGAUUCAAUAUUUUCAUCAUGCUUAUCUUAUCACAAUCACAUAAUCAUAUUCAUGCAAACAUACCAUUAAGCAUAUAGUAGGGUUUACAAUACUACCAAUACAUAUCAUUCACUAUUAAGAGUUUACUUAUGAAGCAUGAAAACCAUAACCUACCUCCACCGAAGAGUUGAAUCAAGCAAGAAUUUUCCCAAAGCUUUGUUUCUCCCUUCUCGUUCGAUUCUCUCUCUCUCUCUCUCUUGUUCUUUCUAUUUUCUUUAUUCAUACCCUCUUUCUUUUACCCUAAUUAACUUAGGGUUACCUCUUUUAACCCCUCAAGAAUUUUAGUUAUUAAUAUAACCUCACGAAAUCUAUAAUUAAGGAAAGAAUAGUCCAAAAACGUCCCUUAAAACUUCACCAGAAAUCCGACUCUGCCUGGGAUUUGCGCAACUUGUGACGGGCCGUCAUGCCUGCGACAGUCCGUCCUGCAGAUCGUUGCAAAGUUCAGAGAAUGGAUUUUCACUGAAGUCUCCGUGACGGUCCGUCCUACCAUUCCGUCACGAAGUUCAGAGCGUCGAUUUUCAGUACCAAAUUUCAGAUUUUCGAAGUGUUUUAAAACGAGACCCUGCGACGAUCCGUCGUGCCCAUGACGGAUCAUCGUUUGGUCCGUCGCCUCAACCUGUUUUUCCAAAAUUGAAGUUUGUUGCUCAAAACGACUAAACAGGUCGUUACAAUAGAUACCAAUUUACCCAUCGUUCGUCCCCGAACGAUCAAAAGAAGGAAAACAAGGGCGAAAAGGAGUACCUGAAUCUGUAAACAGAUGUGGGUAUUUUUCUCGCAUAUCCGCCUCCUUCUCCCAAGUGGCUUCUUCAACGGGUCGAUUCUUCCAUUGCACCUUGAUGGAUGCAAUGUCUCUUCACCUCAACUUGCGAACUUCUCUAUCUAAAAUAGCAACAGGCUAUUCCUCAGAAGACAAGUUCUCAUCAAGCAAAACUGAAUCCCAACGGAUGAUGUAGUUUCCAUCCCCAUGGUAUCUUUUCAACAUCGACACAUGAAAUACCGGAUGCACUCCGGACAGCCCUGGAGGCAAGGCUAACUCAUAAGCCACCUCUCCUACUCGCUUAAGUACUUCAAAUGGUCCACUGUACCUUGGACUUAGUUUACCCCUUUUACCAAACCGCAUCACCCCUUUCAUGGGUGAAACUUUCAACAAGACUUGUUCACCCUCCAUGAACUCUAAGUCUCUAACCUUUCGAUCUGCAUAUUCUUUUUGUCUACUUUGCGCCGCUAGAAGCUUUUCUUGAAUAGAAUUCACUUUUUCCAUCGAAUUCCUCAAGAGAUCAGUACCCCAAGGUCUAACCUCGAACGCAUCAAACCAACCGAUGGGAGACCUGCAUCUCCUACCAUACAAUGCUUCAAAUGGAUCCAUAUCAAUGCUUGAGUGAUAGCUAUUAUUGUAUGAAAACUCCGCUAAGGGUAAGAAGUUAUCCCAAUGGCAACCAAAUUCUAUCACACACGCACGAAGCAUAUCCUCCAACACUUGAAUCGUUCGCUCCGACUGACCAUCGGUCUAAGGUCCAACCUAGUACCCAAUUCUGCAUGCAAUGUUUUCCAAAACAUAGAAGUAAACUACGUACCUCUAUCUGAUAUGAUGGAUAGUGGAACCCCAUGCAAUCGCACCACUUCCGAGAUGUAAAGUUUGGCUAACUUUUCUGCAUUGUAAGUCACCUUGACCGGAAUGAAAUGAGCAGAUUUAGUUAACCUAUCAACAAUCACCCAAAUGGAGUCAUACUUACCCAUUGUCUUCGGAAGACCAACCACAAAAUCCAUUGCAAUUCUUUCCCACUUCCAUUCCGGAAUGGGCAUUCUCUGAAGUGUUCCUCCGGGCCUUUGGUGUUCACACUUUACUUGUUGACAGUUCGGACACUUGGCAAUAAAGUCAACAAUAUCACGCUUCAUUCUACUCCACCAAAAGUGUUGCUUUAGGUCACGAUACAUCUUGGUUGCACCCGGAUGUAUAGAAUACCUUGAACUAUGAGCCUCUUUCAGAAUAGUGUUGAUCAAAUCAUCGACGCGGGGUACACAUACCCUUCCCUUGAUUCUCAAAACACCUUCCUCAUCGAUUUGUGCUUCCUUAGCCUCUCCUCGCAAUACUUUAUCUUGAAUUCUGCGCAGUUUCUCAUCAUCAAACUGUCUUCCCUUAAUCUUGUCAAGAAAGGAAGAUCUUGCCUCCACAGAAGCCAACAAUCCUCCCCUCUCAUUUACUUCUAAUCUCAUCAAGUCAUUAGCUAGAGUUUGAACCUCUCUAGCCAAUGGGCGUCUAGAAGCUUGCAAGUGAGCUAGACUUCCCAUGCUUCCAGUCUUUCUACUUAAAGCAUCCGCUACAACAUUCGCCUUCCCCGGAUGAUACAAGAUAGUGAUAUCGUAGUCCUUUAGUAACUCCAUCCAUCUCCUCUGUCUUAAGUUCAAAUCUUUCUGAGUAAAGACAUACUGAAGGCUACGAUGAUCCAUAUAGAUCUCACACUUAACCCCAUAUAAAUAGUGUCUCCAUUGCUUUAAUGCAAACACCACCGCAGCCAAUUCCAAAUCGUGGGUCGGAUAGUUACGUUCAUGCACCUUUAGUUGCCUUGAAGCAUAAGCAAUCACACUCUUCUCUUGCAUUAGUACUACACCCAAACAAGAAUAGGAUGCAUCACAAUAAACAAUGAAGUUCUUACACUCUACUGGCAAGGUAAGGAUAGGUGCGGUAGUCAACAAAGUCUUGAGCUUCUGAAAGCUUUCCUCACACUCAUCCGACCAUACAAAUGGAACAUUUUGCUUAGUCAAGUUCGUCAGUUGGGAAGCGAUAGAAGAGAAUCCCUUGACAAAUCGACGGUAGUAGCUAGCUUAUCCAACAAAGCUCCUUAUUUCUGACACAUUAGUAGGUCUUACCCAAUUCUUCGCUGUCUCAAUCUUAGAAGGAUCCACCAUCACCCCAUCCUUGGAAACCACAUGCCCCAAGAAGGACACUGCAUCUAACCAAAACUCACACAUAGAGAACUUGGCAUAAAGCUUUUUCUCCCUCAACAUUUCCAAUACCAUUCUCAAAUGUUCUUCAUGUUCCUUCUUGCUCUUUGAUUAUACCAAUAUAUCAUCAAUAAAUACGAUCACGAAGAGGUCCAAAUAUGGCUUAAAAAUCCCGUUCAUCAAGCUCAUGAACGCAUCAGGGGCAUUCAUAAGACCAAAGGACAUCACUACAAAUUCGUAAUGCCCAUACCUUUUUUGAAAAGAAGUCUUUGGCACAUCCGUUGCCCGUAUUUUCAAUUGAUGAUAACCGGAUUUUAAGUCAAUCUUAGAGAAGACACAAGCACCUUGUAACUGAUCGAACAAGUCAUCAAUGCGGGGAAGAGAAUACUUGUUCUUUAUGGUUACCUUGUUUAGUUGUCUGUAGUCUAUACACAUUCGAAAACUGCCAUCUUUUUUCUUUACAAACAAAACCGGAGCACCCCAAGGAGAUGCACUUGGUCUAAUGAAGCCUUUGUUCAAUAACUCUUGAAGUUGUGCUUUUAACUCUCUUAACUCCGCGGGAGCCAUUCUAUAAGGGGGUAUUGAAAUGGGGCGAGUACUGGGUUCAAGAUCAAUACAGAAGUCAAUAUCCCUAUCCGGUGGCAUACCAGGAAGAUCUGCAGGGAACACAUCCAGAAACUCACGAACUACUGAAACCGACUCAAUCAAAGGUACUUGGGUAGUGUCAUCCUUGAGAUGUGCCAAGAAAGCUAAACACCCUUUACUAAUCAUUUUCUUAGCACGAAGAAAGGAGACGAUGCGGACCGGAUUGGAAGUGUAUUCACCCUCCCACACUAACGGGUCUGUCCCAGGCUUGGCUAACGUCACUGUUUUAGCAUUACAAUCCAAGAUUGUAAAUUGCGGAGAAAGCCAAGUCAUACCCAGAAUCACAUCAAAAUCAUCCAUUUCUAAGAUAACCAAAUCUAAAUAGGUGUUGCUCCCCACAAAGUUCACCAAACAAGACCUAUACACCUUUUCAACUACCACAGACUCACCCACCGGAGUAGAAACACGAAUAGGCAUAUCAAGUAAUUCACAAUGUAAAUUUAGACCAUUAGCAAAUGAGGAAGAUACAUAAGAAAACGUGGAUCCAGGGUCAAACAAUACAGAAGCCAUGCAAUCACAAACCAGAAGAUUACCUGUGAUGACAGCAUCAGAUGCCUCCGCUUCAGACCGCCUAGGGAAAGCGUAACAAUGGGCCCUAUCGUUCGUUUGUCUGUUGCCCCUACCAUGUUGUGAUGUAGUGGCCCCAGUUUGCCCAUUACCUCUGCCAUUUUUGUGACCACCAUUACCUCGACCAGCACGUCCUCCAGAAUAACGACCUCUACCAUGACCACCUCUACCUCUAGCUAUUGGGGGUCUAUAACUUUGUCUGGGACAAUUUUUCCUAAUAUGUCCAAUCUCCCCACAUCCAUAACAUUCUCUGGAGUCAAUCAUAGGCCCCUCGGAGAAGUGUUGAUCGGUCUGAGGUGGUCCCCCAACUACAGUCUGUAGUGAAGACUGAAUUGGUCGGACUGAGUAACUUCCCGAACCCUGUCCUCUAGUGUAAGAACCAUUAAACUCACCUCCCUUUCGAAGACUUUUUGAUGUCGAUGUUGUGGUGAAGUCAUCUGGCUUCACUCCUUCCACUUCUAUUACAAAGUCUACCACUUCUUGGAAGGAUUUUGCCGUUGCCGCUACCUGUAAGGCCGAAAUCCGCAAUUCUGACCUCAACCCCUUCACAAACCGACGAAUCCGCUCUAAGGACUGAAACAGAGUUGAGUGGCAUAUCUGGAUAGUGCACGAAACUUAGCCUCAUAAGCAUUAACCGACAUCCUACCUUGCUCUAGGCUCAGGAACUCAUCCCUUUUCCUAUCCCUCAAAGUCCGGGGGAUAUACUUCUCCAUAAACAAGCUAGAGAACGAGGCCCAAGUCAUAGGUGGUGCCUCUAUUGGUUGACACUCAAUAUGUGACCGCCACCACAUUUUGGCGUUCCCUUGAAACUGAUAAGUCACAAACUCCACACCAAACCGUUCUACUAUACUCAUCUUGUGUAGUAGCUCGUGACAGUCAACCAGAAAAUCAUAAGCAUCCUCCGAUUCAGCACCCUUCAAGACUGGAGGUUUCAAUUUUAAGAACUUACUGAAAAGUUCAUGCUGAUCACUUGUCAUUAUAGGCCCAGUAGUCAGACGUGGAAACGUGCCUAUUUCCAAUGGAACAUCCAUGCGGGGAGCCAUAGUAGCCGCAUGUUGUACCUCCGGAGCCUGAGGUGCUGGUGCAGAAAACACUGGGGUGUCUGGCCCUGAUCAGAUAACCCGCUAAGAUAAGCCAGAACCUGAUUGAUCAUCUCUGGGGUAGGUUGGGGUGGCAUUUUCUCAUUUUGCACUUGUUCAGUUUCCCCAUCCUCCCCUUCUCUUAUUACUUCUUCAGUCGGUGGAGGAGUCACUGCCCUAGUAUCAGAUGGGAUAGGUGCUCGUCCUCUUCCCCUAGAGGACGUCCUCCCACGACCUCUACCACGGCCCCUUGCCGCUGUUCUUCCUCGAGCCACAGCCCCAGUGGCUGGCUCAGUUGUUUCUUGUCUGGCCGAUGUUGGUAAUGACGUAGUCGUUGCUCUAGUUCUAACCAUCUGCGAAAGAGAGUGAAGAUGGUCAGAUACCAAUUCGUAUCACCUAGAUACCAAUUUGACUCAAGUAGUAGAACGAAAGAAAGAAUGAAAGAGUGAAAUUUUCCUAAAGUCUUAUAGCCUCUCAAGGAAAAGUAAAGGUGUCCCCCUACCGUUCCUUAAGAAUCUACUAGACCUGUUAUUGUGUGAUGAGACCAACGAACCUAAUGCUCUGAUACCAAGUUUGUCACGACCUAAAUCGGAUCGCGACUGGCACCCACACAUACCCUCCUAUGUGAGUGAACCAACUAAUCUAAACCUUAACAUUUCAAUGUAAUAACAACAGAAAGUAAUGCGGAAGACUUAAACUCAUAAGUAAAAAUAAAUAAUCAACUUCUAUAGCUCAAAAACUUAUCAUUAUCCCCAGAAUCUGGAAGUCAUCAUCACAAGAACAUCUACUUUAAACUACUAAUUCUAAGAGUUUCUAAGAAGCUAAAAAUACAUAAGAAGCUAGUCCAUGCCGGAAGUUCAAGGCAUCAAGACAUGAAGGAGAAGAUCCAGUCCAAGCUAGAAGCGUUAGCUCACCCUGAAGAUUCGGUGUGAUGAAGACUGGCUUGAGAUUACUGUUGAGUCGAAGAUGACGACACGUUUGCUGCACUCCACAAAUAACAAGAAGAAAAACAUAAAAGUAGGGGUCAGUACAAAACACGGGUACUGAGUAGAUAUCAUCGGCCAACUCAAAAUAGGGAACAGUAUAUAUCAAUAUUAUCGUAAAUCAACUAUAAAAGUCAACAUGUAGCAACAACAAGUAUUAUAAUCAUCAAUAAGUACCAUCAAGUUCAUCCAUCAGGGCUCAAGCCUCAAUGCCAUACUCAUUUGGGAAUUAAGUUUAUUAAGUUGAGUAUAUUAUCAUCUUUCAAGAUUCAUUAUCUUUCCUCUUCUUGUGUCGGUACAUGACACUCUGAUCCCCUACUACUAUGUGUCAGUACGUGACACUCUGAUCCCCUAAUUCUAUGUGUCGGAAUGUGACACUCCGAUCCCCUACAUGUGUCGGAACGUGACACUCCGAUCCCCUACAUGUGUCGGUACGUGACACUCCGAUCCCCUACGCCUGUGACGGUCCGUCCUGCCAUUCCGUCACGAAGUUCAGAGAGUCGAUUUUCAGUACCAAAUUUCAGAUUUUUUAAGUUUUUGAAACGAGACCCUGCGACGGUCCGUCGUGCCCAUGACGGAUCGUCGUUUGGUCCGUCGCCUCAGCCUGUUUUUCCAGAAUUGAAGUUUGUUGCUCAAAACGACUAAAUAGGUCGUUACACAGAUAAAAAUAUAGAUAGAUCAUUAGUUCUAUAUUGGAAAAUGUUUGGAAUAGAACUAGCACCAGGGAGCAAAUUAUUUACAGCAAGAUGUAAAAAUUUAUAUAUAUUAACAACAAAGCAUAAAAUAACAGCAAGAAAUAAAAUUAAUAAAAUAAAAAUAGAAAAUUCUUUUGAAAAAAUAAUUACUGUAAUAGACAAUAAUGACUAUAGCUAUAAAGAAAUUGAUAUAGAGGAAGAUUUAGAGAUAGUAAAAGAAAGAUUAAGCACUUCAAGCAUACCAAAUACAUUGACAAGAGCUACCUCAUCAAGGAUGAGUACAUCUAAAAGAAAAUAUGAAAUUCCACAAAGCUUAUUAGAUAAAGAAGAAAUAACACUAUAUCAUUAUUUCAUAACAGGAAUAAUAGACCAAAGAAAAUAUAAAAUAUUAAUAAAUACAGGACAAGAAGAAAAUUAUAUGCUACACUUAUUUAUUUGUAGUAUAGUUUAAUUCUUUAUUUGUAUGGAUUUUAAGCUUAUGUUACAUCACUAGUAAAACUAUAUGCGCUUUGUGCAAGAAUUUAAUAUCACGAAAUAUAUAAAUAAUACUUAAAUCUAUCAGUCAUUAGAACUAAACUAUAUUAUUUUACAUAAACGAUUAAUAAUGUAAAGAAAAAUAAAAAUUAUUACAUCUUAUAAUGUAUCCUCAAUAACAUAUAAGAAUAAAUUAAUAAUUGCAAAAAUAUAUACCGUGAUCUAUAACAUAAGCAAUGGUGUCACAUAGACAUUAGACAGUCAAAUGAGUAACAUACACAAAUAAUUAAUUGUGAAGAUAAAGAAGAGCUUCAACAUUAUGGUUGUUUUGAAAUGAGAGAAAUCUCUAUAUUUAUAAUAAACAUAUGGUAGUAUUAACAAAUAUUUAUUCAUUUAUUGUACUUUAUCAGAAAGAUUACAACUAUUUAGAAAAAUUUUAAUCCUUUAGAAUGGUCAUAAUCUUUCAUAAAAGUCACAACUUUUCAUAAAAGUUGUAAUUCUUCAUUAAAGUCGCAAUAUUUCAUUAAGGUCACAACUUUUCAUAAAAGUCGCAACUCUUCAUUAAUGUCUUAACUUUUCAUAAAAAGCACAACUUCUCGUAAAUAUCUCAACUUUUCAUGAAAGGCAAGACUAACUUUGUAAAUAUAUUAAUUAAAAGUGAAUCAUGGUUUUUGGUAACGCCACGUAGGCGACCUAAGGUUCUAUUUAUAUAUAAAUAUAUAUAUAUAUAUAUAUAUAUAUCUGUGUGUGAGAGAGAGAGAGAGUGAGUGCGUGCGUACAUGCGUGCAUGUGUGCGUGGGUACGUGCGUGCGUGCGAGUGUGUGUGUGUGUAUGUGUGUGUGUGUGUGUGUGUGUGUGUGUGUGUGUGCUUUUUUCAUCGCUCUAUCCAAAUGCUAAUUAAUUUUCAGUACAUCUGCCAUUAGUCUAAAGGGAACUGAGGUCAUUUAGAAUGAAUUUUGGAUUUUGUCCCCAAUCCCUACAAUCCAUGAACAUGUAUUUCCCAAUUAUUUAAUCUUUUGACAACCAUCGUCCUUGCUUUCUAGAUGAUGUACCCUUGAAAACACCACUCUUCACGACUGCCUAGGGUUUAUGAAUGCACCAUAAACAUGAACAACCCCUUAUCCAUACAACCAUGUAGGUCUAACCUGUGUUAUCAAAAGAGAAAAACACAAAAAAUCUCUAAGGUCCGUGGAGGCCUUAAACGCAAAGUGCAAAUAAAAUAUGGGAUUCAACGAAAAAGGCGCAAAGGAAUAAAAGAUUACAACUAUAUAUGUUUAGCCAAGACUAAUAGUUAUAAAUAUGAAUGAAAAAUAUAUUACCAAACAAAUUGAAAAAUAUUAUGAUGAAGUAAAAUAUCAAUUAUUUAGUAUCGAUUCUUCAGUAGUGGCUCAUCCGCAAGGAAAUGAUUGCCUUAUAAUAUUCAUGACAACAUUGAAACGUACAUAAAUUGAGGUGAAUCACUCAACACAUUUCAAGACUCACUUCAGGGCUUAAGCACACCUUUGAUAACACUAGGUAUAAAUACAACUUUAUGGAACAUACCUUUAAUCCAUGGAAACAAAUAUUCAUCGCAAAGUACCUCAAGAUGUGUGCCUUCAAUUUACCCACCCUACUCCAAUAUGCUGUGAGACAUCAUACACCUCUUAUUAUAAAACCAAAAUACUUGAAGUUUCUUCUCUUUUUCUUGAAUAGGAUUUGUGAGUCAUUCCUCACUUCCACCUAUUCCUCAAGUGUUAAUUGAAUUUACACGUGAAAUAAUUUGUUUUAGUUUUGCUUAACCAGAAAAGUUCAUUCUCUAAGAUCUGUCUCAAAACUUCCAGUUAUUCGCUAACUCCACCCUAUAUCUUGUUAUUCUAUUCUAUGUGAUCUACGAAUGACAAAAACCACAAUAUAUUUCAUUGAAUAUAUCAUGUCAAUUCAUCCAUCACUAAGGAAAAAAUGAAUAGGCUAAGGGUCGAUCUCUAGUGAAACCCUAUGAUAACUGAAAAAUGUUCCUAGCCUCCUCCCAAUAAUAUUAUAUGAUGGCAACGAUGCUACAAAAAUCCUAAAUGGUGCACUAAAUCAAAUAUUUGGUUAUUUGUUUAGAUGACAUAGAAUAACUUCCUACUCAAUGCAUUUUUUCCUUCUUCUUUUAGUGGUGCACCCAUGUUCUAGAAAUCCCAAAUUCGUUUGUCUAAAUCUGAUAUUUCUGUCACAUAUUGCGCAACCCUCAUUAUUUCUUGCUUGUUUACUGAUUUUCUUAAUAUGAUAUCACGUUCAUGAAUUUGUUUCUGCGCCAUUAUAAAUACUAUUGCAUUUUUUGGUUCCUACAUUGAACAAUAUCUUUUCUAUGGUUUAUUACUUCUAUUUAUUUUUGUCAUUGUAUUACAUGACUGUCAAUUAUGAUUCAAGGUAUUUGUUGUUAUGGGUAGCCUGUUUUUUGGUGUUUAUUACAUAGUUGAUUACUCUAUAACGGGUGUUAGUGGCUUCAUGGUUUGAUGUAGUUUAUGGUUAUGUACUUGAUUGGCAGCAGGAGCGGGGGAAGGGGUGGUGAGGUUACCAAGGGAGACCCUAGUUUGAGAGUUGUGUGUUGAAACAUAGGGAAAUUAUCAAGAAAAUUGAUACAAUUACUGAAGAUUCUUAUGAGGAGGAAUAUCAAUAUAGCUUGUAUAAAAGAAACCAAAUGGGUUGGAACCAAGUUCAUGGAUGUAGAUGGACAUAAAUUAUCGUACUUAACAAGACCGGUGAGUAGAAAUAGAAUAGAAUUUUAGUAGACAAGGAACUCAAGCAGCAAGCGGUAGAAAUUUGGAGGGUGAAAGAUAAGUUAAUGUUCAUUAAGCUAAUUUUGGGAGGGAUAUGUAUAGAAACGGGUUUGGACGAGGAGGUAAAAAAAACUUCUUUGUUCUGGGAGAUGUAAGAGUACCCAUGAUCUAGAAAUCCUAGAUUGUUUGUCAAAAUAUGAUAUUUCUGUAACAGAUUGUCAUAUGAAAUCUGGAACAAUGUGGUUAAAAAAUUUUCAAUGAAUUUAGCAAGAUGGAAAUCACAAUCUCCCUGGGUGGCAGGUUGACCUUGAUUAAUUCUUUUCUUGAUUAACUACCAACCUAUAUGAUAUCAGUAUUCCAGAUUCCCAAAAGUUUAAUGACCAGGUUGAAUAAAAUCGGAAGAAAAUUCUUUUGGUAAGGAAACAGUGAGAGGAAACGCUAGAACAUUUUAAAAUGGGAUGGUGUGAUAGUGGGAAAGAAGCAUGGAGGUCUCGGAAUAAGGAAUUUUGUAAUCAAAGCAAAUCCCUUAUGAUGAAAUGGUUGUGGAAGUUCAGUAUUGAAUAGUAGUCCUACUUGAAGGAAGUCAUUAAAACAAAUAUGAAGAGUAAGAUAA
rnacentral:lncRNA from 1 species